rnacentral:pre_miRNA from 1 species
UGCAUUCGAUAGUAUUCGACUGUAUUCACGGUGUGAAAUAGGGGAUUACAUUAUUUUUAAAACGGAAAGUGAAUCAAUUAAUAUAAUAGACAUCU